GGUGAAGUUCAAGGAUGCAAAGAAGACAUCACUUGAUGAAGUUGAGAAUCCGAAGUAGGAGUCAACUGAAACAAGACGGAGGAAGCCGCCUGUGUAAGAAACAGAGCAAGGCUUAGUAUCAAAAGGUGUUGUUGAAUUGUAAAGAACACUGCAACACGGAGUAAGCUUCUGUUGGGAGAACAGUGCAAGGCUACUCAGCAAAAAGGUUCAAGGGAACUGAUGAGACGUCAUCGAGACGUGAUGGUGAUCAAAAGAGGACACCAUAAGAGGAUGCUUACCUCGGAGAAAAAUGGAGCACAAGAGGAUGCUUACCUCGGAGAAAAAUGGAGCAUAAGUCGGUUGAAGAGUAAACCGAAGACGACGUGAAGAAGAUUCACGCACAAGACGUCAUGGAGACGUUAUGGUGAUCAA
rnacentral:lncRNA from 1 species